UGAUUUCUAUUAUGCUAAGGUGUUAAUUUCUUUUCUUGCACAUCGAUGUUGGUUUCUUGCAAGUGUUUCAUCUGUUCUUCGUUUUCUGUACUCUUAAUUCAUAUCAAUAGAUUGGGAUUUGUUUAGAUUCAUCUAAUUCUGGUGCUGAUUUUCACAUCUUUCUCGAUUGAAUUACAUGAAGAAAUCAUCAGCGGCCAUGGUUCCUUCCUUGGCCUUACCUAUGCUACGAAUGAGCACACCGCAUCUAUUCCAACAUCUGUCAAGUUGUUUUAACUGGAAAUUUCCUUCUCAGUUAGGACAUUUUUAGUACAAUGUAUAGCCUAAACCAAUAUCCACUGUCUAUCCACUUCUCCUCCUUGGUGGCUCAUGCAGUGUCUUGUGUUUGAAAUUAAAGACAAAUGUCCUUAGUCAAGUGUCGCUUUUAAGAGGACGUUUGAAACAUUCGUUCUAACAAACGACAUGAAACAAAUCUUAUCUUAUGUUUAAAAAAAUCCAGAUAUAUUUGUAGCUCAUUCAAUUGUGUAUUUGAUGGUUAGAAUUCUCUGCACCGUUUAUCAAAAUGAGAGGCAAUCAUUUUUUUACUUCAUAGGUGCUUUCCAAGUUUCUUAGUAAAAAGGAGGACCCAGUUCAUUGAUAAGAUUGCUCCUGCAAUUCUUUUUAGCUUGCUGCUCCGAACGGCCAUAUGAUGUUUGAUAAAAGACUCAUUAGAGCAUAGAAUGUGGGUAGCUAUGAAGUUUAUUGGUUUUAAUUCAAAUGAGUUUUAUGAAAUUGGAGUUGAUUUUGUAUUACAGACAAGGUGUUUGAUGAAAUGCUUCUGUAGACAAGAAUAUUAAAUGUUAAUGCACUUAUAAAGUCCGGGAUAAAAAGCAUAUUUUUUUAAAUUAUUACGGGUAAGGGCAAUCUCAAUAUGAAUCAAAUUACAUAAUAUAGGUAGUUUUUAUCUAUUUAUUAUAAGUCAUUUUAAGUUUGAUUAUAAUUUAUUGAAAGAGGGGGCUCCUUUUUUUUCUCUUUUUUUUGCUACAGUCAUGGCCUCAGGGGGACCUAACAACAACAACCAUUUUGCUUGGAAGACAGGUUGCUUUAACUUUAUAAAGAUGACGAGGGAAGAAAGAUUCAUGUAAUCUGCUAGAAGUAAAGUUGGAAACAGUAAGUUUUUAGCAAAGCAAUGCAAAAGCGAAGGAAUCAUAUAUUAUCACAAUCGAAGGAGAGUGAUGAUCGAUCAACUCGCCAGCUGAAAAGGUAGUACUGCACUACUUCUUGGUAAUUUGUGCCCAAUUUGUACUAAAUAAAUAAAAAAUAACACAGUUCAAAAUCGAAUAGUAUAUGAUAUUGCUACU
rnacentral:lncRNA from 1 species